GAUUUCUGGCCUGAAACAUGUUGUCGGCCACGGUUUCGUGUGUUAGUGCAUUAUGUUCUGGCCAUCCUUCCAAUCGCUAUGUACCUUUCUUCAUUGAUUGGUGCGUGGUAUUGGAUCUUUUACUUUGAAAAAAUUAGAGUGUUUCAAGCAGGCUUUAUGCUAUGAAUACAUUAGCAUGGAAUAAUAAUUUAGGACUUCGGUUCUAUUUUGUUGGUUUCUAGGACUGAAGUAAUGAUUGAUAGGGAUAGUUGGGGGUGCUAGUAUUCAGCGGCCAGAGGUGAAAUUCUCGGAUUCGCUGAAGACUAACUUAUGCGAAAGCAUU
rnacentral:rRNA from 1 species